rnacentral:sRNA from 1 species
AAGGAUCAUUACCGAGUGCGGGCUGCCUCCGGGCGCCCAACCUCCCACCCGUGACUACCUAACACUGUUGCUUCGGCGGGGAGCGCCCCUCGGGGAGCGAGCCGCCGGGGACCACCGAACUUCAUGCCUGAGAGUAAUGCAGUCUGAGCCUGAAUAGUAUAAUCAGUCAAAACUUUCAACAAUGGAUCUCUUGGUUCCGGCAUCGAUGAAGAACGCAGCGAACUGCGAUAAGUAAUGUGAAUUGCAGAAUUCAGUGAAUCAUCGAGUCUUUGAACGCACAUUGCGCCCCCUGGCAUUCCGGGGGGCAUGCCUGUCCGAGCGUCAUUGCUGCCCAUCAAGCCCGGCUUGUGUGUUGGGUCGUCGUCCCCCCUUCCGGGGGGGGACGGACCCGAAAGGCAGCGGCGGCACCGUGUCCGGUCCUCGAGCGUAUGGGGCUUUGUCACCCGCUCGACUAGGACCGGCCGGGCGCCAGCCGGCGUCUCCAACCAUUUUCUUCAGGUUGACCUCGGAUCAGGUAGGGAUACCCGCUGAACUUAAGCAUAUCAAUAAGCGGAGGAAAAGAAACCAACCGGGAUUGCCCCAGUAACGGCGAGUGAAGCGGCAAGAGCUCAAAUUUGAAAUCUGGCCCCUCCGGGGUCCGAGUUGUAAUUUGCAGAGGAUGCUUCGGGUACGGCCCCUGUCUAAGUGCCCUGGAACGGGCCGUCAGAGAGGGUGAGAAUCCCGUCUUGGGCAGGGUGCCCGUGCCCAUGUGAAGCUCCUUCGACGAGUCGAGUUGUUUGGGAAUGCAGCUCUAAAUGGGUGGUAAAUUUCAUCUAAAGCUAAAUACCGGCCGGAGACCGAUAGCGCACAAGUAGAGUGAUCGAAAGAUGAAAAGCACUUUGAAAAGAGAGUUAAACAGCACGUGAAAUUGUUGAAAGGGAAGCGCUUGCGACCAGACUCGGCCCCGGGGUUCAGCCAGCACUCGUGCUGGUGUACUUCCCCGGGGGCGGGCCAGCGUCGGUUUGGGCGGCCGGUCAAAGGCCCCAGGAAUGUAUCGCCCUCCGGGGCGUCUUAUAGCCUGGGGUGCAAUGCGGCCAGCCCGGACCGAG